CUUAAUGACAUCACCAUAAGAAACAGGUAUCCUCUGCCUCUGAUGUCAUCAGCCUUUGAAUUGCUACAGGGAGCCAGGGUCUUUACCAAGCUAGACCUCCGUAAUGCCUUCCAUUUGGUCCGCAUACGCGAAGGGCAUGAGUGGAAGACAGCAUUUAACACCCCAACGGGACACUUUGAAUACCGGGUUCUACCCUUCGGGCUCACCAACGCCCCAGCUGUCUUCCAGGCCCUGGUGAAUGAUGUGUUGAGAGACAUGACCUUUUUGUUCUACUCCCUGCCCUGACUCUCCUUGUGUCAGUUGAGACUUGGAUGCAUCGCUCCAGUCCCUCUCUGCAAUCUCAACGCUCUCACCUGGAGACUUGGUGAGAUUUCAACGCUGCGUCACGGACAGCGCUCUAGGCAGAGUGACCUAGGACCUAGUUUUGGACGUUCUCUCUCUUGUGUUCCUGUUUUCUUUCCCCCUUGUGCGCAGUGAGAGCAAAAUAAAACUUUUCUGUUACCUGUAA